rnacentral:misc_RNA from 1 species
CUUGUCAUUAUAUGCUCAGUAACGCCCUAGGAUAUCUAUGCGUAUAUAAAACACCAAAGAGAAACGAAGGUUUCUACCCUCAACUCACCAACAAAUAUGCAAUUAAACUAUAACAAAUGCAAAUAAAGGAAGACUUGUUCCAUGUCAAACAAGUUCCUUGAUUACACAAAGUAGAUUUUAUAAUUUUCUGACCUAGAAAGAUUUUAUGCUUGAAUUACAUUCUCUGCAUAACUCACUCAAAUAUUUUUCAUGGUUCCCUUCACUGCCCCACCCAAAAAUAUGUACUUGGGCAUAGUUUGUUCGGCAAGGGGACCAUUGGUUAGGUCAUAAAGAUAGACUUACCAACUAGGGUUGAGCAUUUUAUUACGCUGGAUUUAUGAAGAGGCUGUCCUUUUAUUGAGCUGGACCUAGGAAGGGGGUUGUCCUUUACACUAUCAUCACACGGUAGACAGCACAGAACAACUUGUUAGCGGGCCCAAUCAACUUCACCCUUUCUGGCAUCAGAUCAUCUGAAUCACACGAGGACUUCAACUGUUAGAAAGAGUACAGGAAGUCAAGUCUUAUUUUUGCUCCGUAUGCAUUGCAGAAAACAAAUCAUCUUCACAAAAUCUCAGAAAUAUUUAUAGGCAUUUCAGUUAUGACAAGGCUGCUGCUCUCUUCAACACUUUUAAGAGUCACCACUUCUCCCCCAACAACCAUAUUGAUUACAAUCCCAUCUGCAAAUGCUUAGAGAGAGAGAUAUUACAAAGUGCAAAAGCCAAACUACGUAAGUAGCGAAAUAUUGUAGAUUGCAAGCAAAAUCUGAUGCCAAACAACUAGCCAUGCGUCUUGAAUAUGUUUCCUGAAAGCAUGCCAAACAAUAUCAAUGACAAGAAAACGCCAAAUUGAAUCCUUCAGUUAUUAGCACAAAUAAUAAAGAAAAAUGCACAAAGACAUAGAUGGGGAAAAAAUCCAGGCCUUAUAGUCUCAACUAUACUCUGAAUGUGGCAUAUAGCUAAGAUCACCAUCUCCAAUGGAGCAGUGGCAUAGGCAAGCAUGGAACUGAAAUUGCCUUUUUUGCCACUUCUACAGGAAGCAAAUAGUGUCUCCCCAUUGGGCAUGUUAUGCCCUUAAGUCAAUUAUUGUCAAUAUCUAUUGGUCCCAGAGUUGGGCUUAACCAACCAUCAGCGACCCUCAUCCAAGACCCAACCCCUCACCCAAAAUGAGGGGACAGAAAGAGAGAGAGAGAUCUAAAACCACAAGAUUGGGCCAAGUUUAAUAGCUCUCUUCAAGUACCUAAAAUUCUUACAGAUUGCCAGUUGGAUCAGAGAAAUACAUGGUGUCUUUUGACUCUGUUCAUAUCGAUUAGCUCACUCUCAUUAACAGACAUCCAUUUCAGAGAUGAUUAAAUUGUAGUAGAUAGACCUAGUGCUAGAUAAUGUUAACAUGUACGUGAAAAGGCCUUUGAGGACACCAUGCC